UACGUAGGAUGCAAGCGUUGUCCGGAAUUAUUGGACGUAAAGAGCGCGCAGGCGGUUUUUCAAGUCAGAUGUGAAAUAUCCGGGCUUAACCCGGAGGGGUCAUUUGAAACUGAGAAACUAGAGUACAGCAGAGGAUAGCGGAAUUCCCGGUGUAGUGGUGAAAUGCGUAGAUAUCGGGAGGAACACCAGUGGCGAAGGCGGCUAUCUGGGCUGAAACUGACGCUGAGGCGCGAAGGCUAGGGGAGCAAACAGG
rnacentral:rRNA from 1 species